AGGAUCAUUACCGAGUGCGGGUCCUUUGGGCCCAACCUCCCAUCCGUGUCUAUUGUACCCUGUUGCUUCGGCGGGCCCGCCGCUUGUCGGCCGCCGGGGGGGCGCCUCUGCCCCCCGGGCCCGUGCCCGCCGGAGACCCCAACACGAACACUGUCUGAAAGCGUGCAGUCUGAGUUGAUUGAAUGCAAUCAGUUAAAACUUUCAACAAUGGAUCUCUUGGUUCCGGCAUCGAUGAAGAACGCAGCGAAAUGCGAUAACUAAUGUGAAUUGCAGAAUUCAGUGAAUCAUCGAGUCUUUGAACGCACAUUGCGCCCCCUGGUAUUCCGGGGGGCAUGCCUGUCCGAGCGUCAUUGCUGCCCUCAAGCCCGGCUUGUGUGUUGGGUCGCCGUCCCCCUCUCCGGGGGGACGGGCCCGAAAGGCAGCGGCGGCACCGCGUCCGAUCCUCGAGCGUAUGGGGCUUUGUCACAUGCUCUGUAGGAUUGGCCGGCGCCUGCCGACGUUUUCCAACCAUUCUUUCCAGGUUGACCUCGGAUCAGGUAGGGAUACCCGCUGAACUUAA
rnacentral:rRNA from 1 species